rnacentral:rRNA from 1 species
UACGUAGGGGGCGAGCGUUACCCGGAUUUAUUGGGUGUAAAGCGUGUGUAGGCGGUUUCUUAAGUCCAAGGUUAAAGCCCGGAGCUUAACUCCGGUUCGCCUUGGAAACUGAGAUACUAGAGUAUGGCAGAGGCAAAUGGAAUUUCUAGUGUAGCGGUGAAAUGCGUAGAUAUUAGAAGGAACACCAGUGGCGAAGGCGAUUUGCUAGGCCAUUACUGACGCUGAGACACGAAAGCGUGGGGAGCAAAUA